rnacentral:rRNA from 1 species
GCGCGAAAACUUUACAAUGCUGGCAACAGCGAUAAGGGAACCUCGAGUGCCAGGUUACAGAUCUGGCUGUCGAGAUGCCUAAAAAGCAUUUCAUAGCAAGGGCCGGGCAAGACCGGUGCCAGCCGCCGCGGUAACACCGGCGGCUCGAGUGGUAACCGUUAUUAUUGGGUCUAAAGGGUCUGUAGCCGGCCGGAUAAGUCUCUUGGGAAAUCUGGCAGCUCAACUGUCAGGCUUUCAGGAGAUACUGUCUGGCUCGAGGCCGGGAGAGGUGAGAGGUACUUCAGGGGUAGGGGUGAAAUCUUGUAAUCCUUGAAGGACCACCAGUGGCGAAGGCGUCUCACCAGAACGGACCUGACGGCAAGGGACGAAAGCUAGGGGCACGAACC